rnacentral:lncRNA from 1 species
UUAGGGUGGGCGCUAAUCUGAUGUGACUGGCAUCCUUAGAAAAAGGGGAAAUUUGGACACAGAGACAGACACACGUGGAGGGAAGACUAGUGGAGACGCAGGGAGAGUGUCGUGUGAAGACUGGAGUCAUGCUGCCACAAGCCGAGGAAUGCCAGCAAGCCCCCAGGAGCUAAGGGAAGGAUGUGGACCAGCCUUUGGAAGGAACCAACCCUGCCGGCACCUUGAUCUCGGACUUCCGGCCUCCAGAACCCUGAGACAGUGCUGAUCCUUAAUAAACAUCUUACACCCCAGUGUGUGUUCCAUUGAGCCCAACCCACAACACAAGAGCCCUUUGCUAGCCGUGGUAAACCAUGACCUGGACGCAAUACUCACAGCAAUAAAUACUUCCAAAUUCUACCAAUAAAAAAAAACUUAUUAAGAAAAUUAAUCAUCAAUCCAACUAUGAUAGAGUAGCUUUCAUCAAACCAAUCUGCCUGCCAAGAAGAAUUAUAAAACCUAGGGGGAAACAAACUGUUUGAAGGCAUCAGAGAGAAAUCAAGGUAAUUAGGAUUUGAAGGUCCAGGAUCUUUGAAAAAUUAGAAAAACACAUUAAAGCAAGCAAGACUUUUCUCUGCUGCUCUUUCCUGUAAGAGCAUUUGCCAGUUCACAUCAUUGGGUCCAGAGGCUGAGCCCCAAGCAAUAACGUUGAGCAUUUGACAGUCCCAUGGUGUUGGGAAGACAAAAGUUGGAAUUCAGGGAUCCCAAGGUAGUUAUGACUUAAUAAACCAAGAUCCCAGAGAAAAGAGAACAUCAGCAAAAGAAGCCUAAAGUUCUGUGCAGCUUCUGCUCCUGAAGUAUUUGCUGAGUCUUAAGCAGCCCCUGAAUAAGAGUCUGGGAACCCAAGCAGAAAAUAGCUGCUAAGUGGCUACAAAUGUUAAAAAACAAAUAAAUUGUGUCAGUUGUAUAGAAUGCAAAGACUAAAAUUAGAAUAUGGACCCACCAAGAAGGAAUAGCCUCCAUUCACAUAAGACUUUUUUAGUUGAGACGCCAAAGUGAGAAACCAGAAAUUAAGUGGCCGACAUAGAGUCUACAUAAAACCUGAAACUGUCUUGAACCAUCCAAGACCUGACUGAACCAAAGUAACCCACCCUUAGUGAACUUGCUGGCCAAAUAAAUAAAAAUAAACAGAUCUUCUCCAGAGAUGGACAACAUCUUCAAGACUCUUAGAAUUUUUCAAAUACAAUGUCCAGCAUUGAAUCAAAAAUCAUGAAGCAUGCCAGAGGAUAGGACCAAACCAUUGAAAAUCUAGAGAAAAAAUAGACAACAGAAACACUCACAGAUGAUCCAGAUAUUUGAAUUAUCAGACACAGAACUUAAAAUGAUUGUGAUUAAUUUGUUCAAGAAAAUGUAUGACAAGAUGGAA